UGGUUUUGAAGAUAGGUUACCUUAAUUCUCGGUUUAUUAAGUGGAUAAUUCAAUUUGAAUCUACGGAUGUUCUUAAGCUGCAAAGAGAGAUUGUGAUUCUGAGGCAACCA